rnacentral:misc_RNA from 1 species
ACAAACUUGGUCAUUUAGAGGAAGUAAAAGUCGUAACAAGGUCAUCGUAGGUGAACCUGCGGUGGGAUCAGUAAAUGGAUUGAUUUCUUGGCGGGGCUGUCUGGUGCUUUCACUCUUCGGAGGGGAAAACCAGAUGGCCGCCAUCUCGUGUGGAUCUUGGGUUGGCAAACUAGGCACCGGUGUUUCUGGUUCCGGGGUGCCCUUGGGCGCUCCGGGGCCGCGGUGCCGCACUAUACGGACUGAAAACACUGCAAAGCAUUGAUUGACCUCGUACAAACAAACCGUAACAACUAUCCAUGGCGGAUCCCUUGGCUCUUGCAUCGAUGAAGAACGCAGC